CAGCGCUAUCCUGGGGGGGGGGUGUAAAAAACUGACCGUGCGGCGCCGGUUGGUGGAACCUGGGCGCUGGGGAAGGGAGCGGGGACCCGGCAGCCCCGGGCGCUCCGCAAGUGGUGAGCAAUUUGGCCUGCUGAUAGGAUGUUACCUCUUUUUUCCUGCUGCCACCUUGGAUGACUUGUCCAGAGUCUUUACAAAUUACUAUUGGCAAUGUUGAAAUGUGAGUAGCGAUACUGGGAGGACCCAACCUACCCCUUGCGCCAUUGGCUCAUGAAGGCAUCCACCUCAACAGCACCCAGGAAAGAUUCAGCUACCAGCUCAGCAUGUGCAGAAUGACAGUUGGGUGCAUAGGCGGCAGAAAAUAAAUCAUUCUCAUCCUCAAAGUACUAAGAGUCACAGAAAGAUUGCUCGGCAUCAGGCUUCUUCAUCAGUGUUCUCGUGGCAACAAGAAAAGACACACAGCUGUCCUUCAUCCAGCAGUCAAGAAACCCUUUAAAGAGAGGUUUUUACUUCAUCCCAUUUUCCAUGGGGAUAGGAGGCAAUUCCUAGUCACAGUGGCUUAAGAUCAAAGAAGACAGAUUUCAACAACAAGUUCCCUGAAAAUGGUGGUAAUUCUUCCGUCAUCGAGCAGUUAAAAACACAGAACCAAGAGUGCUAGUACUGGGUCCCUCGCUUCCUGGGCCUCAUCAGCAACAUCCUCUUUCAAAAUCUGGCAUGUCGGACAAGAAGCUUUCUGUGAAAAAGGUACAGGGCACGGAAGAGUCCAGAGAUGAUUCCAGACUAAGAUCUCCUCAAAGAGAAGGAUGGAGAACUCCAAGCUUUUUUGCAGACCCAGCUUAUGCUUAUCUUAUGUCCGGACAAAGUGUCUUUUGGACA